UUAAAAAUUAUGGAAAUGUUCCUUUGUACACAUAUAAAAUCUAAUGUGUACAAAGGAACAUUUCCAUAAUUUUUCU
rnacentral:miRNA from 1 species